rnacentral:rRNA from 1 species
AACGAACGCUGGCGGCAGGCCUAACACAUGCAAGUCGAGCGCUCUCUUCGGAGGGAGCGGCGGACGGGUGAGUAACGCGUGGGAAUAUGCCCUUGGGUGCGGAACAACCGCUGGAAACGGCGGCUAAUACCGCAUGAUGUCUACGGACCAAAGAUUUAUCGCCCAAGGAUUGGCCCGCGUUGGAUUAGGUAGUUGGUGAGGUCAAAGCUCACCAAGCCGACGAUCCAUACCUGGUUUGAGAGGAUGAUCAGGCACACUGGGACUGAGACACGGCCCAGACUCCUACGGGAGGCAGCAGUGGGGAAUCUUGGACAAUGGGGGCAACCCUGAUCCAGCCAUGCCGCGUGAGCGAUGACGGCCUUAGGGUUGUAAAGCUCUUUCACCGGUGACGAUAAUGACGGUAGCCGGAGAAGAAGCCCCGGCUAACUCCGUGCCAGCCGCCGCCGUAACAC